UGGGGAAUAUUGCACAAUGGGCGGAAGCCUGAUGCAGCGACGCCGCGUGGGGGAUGAAGGCCUUCGGGUUGUAAACUCCUUUCGACAGGGACGAAGCUUUUGUGACGGUACCUGUAUAAGAAGCACCGGCUAACUACGUGCCAGCAGCCGCGGUAAUACGUAGGGUGCGAGCGUUGUCCGGAAUUACUGGGCGUAAAGAGCUCGUAGGUGGUUUGUCGCGUCGUCUGUGAAAUUCCGGGGCUUAACUCCGGGCGUGCAGGCGAUACGGGCUGACUUGAGUGCUGUAGGGGAGACUGGAAUUCCUGGUGUAGCGGUGAAAUGCGCACAUAUCAGGAGGAACACCGAUGGCGAAGGCAGGUCUCUGGGCAGUAACUGACGCUGAGGAGCGAAAGCAUGGGUAGCGAACAGGAUUAGAUACCCUGGUAGUCCAUGCCGUAAACGGUGGGCGCUAGGUGUAGGGGGCUUCCACGUCUUCUGUGCCGUAGCUAACGCAUUAAGCGCCCCGCCUGGNGAGUACGGCCGCAAGGCUA
rnacentral:rRNA from 1 species